AGUUUGUGCUAUUAGGAAAUGGCCUGCAAAUGCAUGGGGUUGCUGUGGUGAAACAAAAUGGCGGCAGCAGGUUCAUUUGCAGCUUUUUUCUCCAAGACGAUGGUCAACAUGGCUCAAGGCAAUCUUUUCGCCCUCUUGGUUUUAAGAGAUACCCCUCUUCUGCAGAACAUCACAUACAAGUCUCUUGGCUUUUCACCUAAUGAUGAUGAUGAUGAUGAUGAUGAUGAUGAUGAAAAUAAUAAUGGUUUAUUACCAGCGUAUCCACUUAUAAAAGGCUCUUCAUCUGUCAUGACUACUAGAGCAUCUAAAUGCAUUGGGAAAGAGUUUGCCUUUGAGUCACUCGGCCAUGUUACGUCUGCGAUGAAUUACCACAUCAAACCCACCCUCGCCAUCUCCUCCCCUGAAACAUAGGUCAGCCAUGCUUUACCCACACUUGGGGUGCCAGAUAUCACGAGUUGACUAUCAGCCUGGUAGAAUGGGUAUGUUGCUAAAGUGUGUACGAAGAUAAUGUGGUAAGAUUUGAUAUGGGUGUAAUAAGAGAUUUUUUCUGUCUAUCUCCAGCUCCAUCUGACUAUUAAACAAGGCCGAAUCAGUGAUAUUCGAGGCUGUAAUAUCUCGUUUGAUGAUUAAAGGCUUGUAAUAAUUAUUCCCGACUUAUUAUGUUUAGUUUGUGAGUGACGUCAAUAUCUCUAUGUACCGCCCCUGCCUUAGCAACAUUCUAACAAACACGGGCCCUUUCAUCGCAUGUCUUGGUGUAAUUAAGAACUAUCAUUCUUGGAAAAAUGGAAAGCGCGCUGUACCGAAGGAGAGCAAUGGCCAAAAACAGCAAAGAAAUUACUUUGUUGCCGCCACUCCUGGCAUCCUCCCCUACUCCACGGCCAUGCCUUCCUCCCAGACAGACAAACGGUGAGCGAACCCACUCUCAAGGGUCAGUCAUGUUCGGCCGUCAAGAGCGAACAAACUCCAUGAACGCUGCCUCUGAGAUACUCAGCAAGCAAGCGCCUGGUGUGUACAGCUCCUGGUGGAUGCCGCUUUCCCCUCUCAGCUCCGUCACACCGAAGAAAGAUUGCCUGUUUGAUUUCACUCCACCUGGUUCCCCUGUCUCUAAACAUCUCGAUGGUCAGGGAUCACCCGUUCUUCGCUUACCCAGCGUCGAUGGGCGAUCAUUGGGUGGUGUGUUCCACGGCCCUUCGCAAGCUGAACGCCGGCCAGAAAGGUGUAGCUCCGCUCCGCCGCAAAGUCUAGCACCGACAAAUCAAUUCCCAGGCCCAUUUCUACCGCCGGUACCAAAAGGACCUAUAUCCCUUUUAAGCGGAUUUAACUUCGAGGCACCGGCGUUCUCGCCACUCAUGAAAAGCGAAGAUGCGUCGAGUUGGUCGAGUCCUCAUGUCCUCACAGCCAGAAAGACCUGGACGAGAGGAUGAGUUAUCAGCGCUUUUCUUUGACGACGAACCGGAGAUUUUUGCGCCUGAUGUCAAUGAACCAGAAGAGAAAUCUUGCAAUGCACACUUGAAUACGACUAGUAAACCGUUUAAAGGUAAGUUCUUACGGUACUAAUGUUUCGAAAUAGAAAA